GAUGAAGAACGUAGCGAAAUGCGAUAAGUAAUGUGAAUUGCAGAAUUCAGUGAAUCAUCGAAUCUUUGAACGCACCUUGCGCUCCUUGGCGUUCCGAGGAGCAUGCCUGUUUGAGUGUCAUUAAAUUCUCAAGACCUGUCUGCUUUUUUGAUAGGUAUUGGAUUUUGGGGGUUGCAGGCUGUUUCAAAUAAAUAGCCUUGCUCUCCUUGAAUGUAUUAGUGGAGAAAAGCCAUUGAACUCCAUUGGUGUGAUAAAACCUAUCAAUGCCAGGAGCAAUAUCACUACUUCUCUCUGCUGUCUAACUGUGACUGUCUGUAUUAAUUAGUAUGGAUGGGGACAACUUGACCAACUUGACCUCAAAUCAGGUAGGACUACCCGCUGAACUUAAGCAUAUCAAUAAGCGGAGGA
rnacentral:misc_RNA from 1 species